AAUGAACGCUGGCGGCGCGCCUAAUACAUGCAAGUCGAGCGAGAAGACGUAGCAAUACGUUUGUAAAGCGGCGAACGGGUGAGGAAUACAUGGGUAACCUACCCUAGAGUGGGGAAUAACUAGCCGAAAGGUUAGCUAAUACCGCGUACGCUCCUUGGACUUCGGUUCAGGGAGGAAAGCGAUGCCGAGGGUAUCGCGCUCUUGGAUGGGCUCAUGUCCUAUCAGCUUGUUGGGAGGUAC
rnacentral:rRNA from 1 species